rnacentral:rRNA from 1 species
GAUGAACGCUGGCGGCGUGCCUAAUACAUGCAAGUCGAGCGAACAGACGAGGAGCUUGCUCCUCUGACGUUAGCGGCGGACGGGUGAGUAACACGUGGAUAACCUACCUAUAAGACUGGGAUAACUUCGGGAAACCGGAGCUAAUACCGGAUAAUAUAUUGAACCGCAUGGUUCAAUAGUGAAAGACGGUUUUGCUGUCACUUAUAGAUGGAUCCGCGCCGCAUUAGCUAGUUGGUAAGGUAACGGCUUACCAAGGCAACGAUGCGUAGCCGACCUGAGAGGGUGAUCGGCCACACUGGAACUGAGACACGGUCCAGACUCCUACGGGAGGCAGCAGUAGGGAAUCUUCCGCAAUGGGCGAGAGCUUGACGGAGCAAAGCCGCGUGAGUGAUGAAGGUCUUCGGAUCGUAAAACUCUGUUAUUAGGGAAGAACAAAUGUGUAAGUAACUAUGCACGUCUUGACGGUACCUAAUCAGAAAGCCACGGCUAACUACGUG